rnacentral:misc_RNA from 1 species
AACGCACGAGACCUGCGGACCUGCGGAGGGAUCAUUACCGAGUUAUCCAACUCCCAACCCCUGUGAAUCAUACCUCUAAUUGUUGCUUCGGCGGGACUUCGCGCCCGCCGGGGACCCAAACCUUCUGAAUUUUUUAAUAAGUAUCUUCUGAGUGGUUAAAAAAAAUGAAUCAAAACUUUCAACAACGGAUCUCU